GUGAGGAAUAUUGGUCAAUGGGCGCAAGCCUGAACCAGCCAUGUCGCGUGCAGGAAGACGGUCCUAUGGAUUGUAAACUGCUUUUAUUUGGGAAUAAACUCCGGUACGUGUACCGGCCUGAAGGUACCAAAUGAAUAAGCACCGGCUAACUCCGUGCCAGCAGCCGCGGUAAUACGGAGGGUGCAAGCGUUAUCCGGAAUCAUUGGGUUUAAAGGGUCCGCAGGCGGUCUUAUAAGUCAGUGGUGAAAGCCUACAGCUCAACUGUAGAACUGCCAUUGAUACUGUAGGACUUGAAUUCGAUCGAAGUGGGCGGAAUGUGACAUGUAGCGGUGAAAUGCUUAGAUAUGUCACAGAACACCGAUAGCGAAGGCAGCUCACUAGGUCUGGAUUGACGCUCAGGGACGAAAGCGUGGGGAGCAAACAGGAUUAGAUACCCGAGUAGUCC
rnacentral:rRNA from 1 species